GGCUGGUCCCAGUGCAGUGGUGUUUACACCUAAUUGAUCAAAACCAGUUCCGUCUCCACUCCCACUGCUUCACUUGGCUAGUCUUAA
ensembl:misc_RNA Y_RNA Y RNA